rnacentral:rRNA from 1 species
GAGUUUGAUCAUGGCUCAGAGCGAACGCUGGCGGCAGGCCUAACACAUGCAAGUCGAGCGCCCAGCAAUGGGAGCGGCAGACGGGAUAGUAACACGUGGGAACGUACCCUUCAGUUCGGAACAACCAAGGGAAACUUUGGCUAAUACCGAAUACGUCCGUAAGGAGAAAGAUUUAUCGCUGAAGGAUCGGCCCGCGUCUGAUUAGCUAGUUGGUGAGGUAAUGGCUCACCAAGGCGACGAUCAGUAGCUGGUCUGAGAGGAUGAUCAGCAUCACUGGGACUGAGACACGGCCCAGACUCCUACGGGAGGCAGCAGUGGGGAAUAUUGGACAAUGGGCGCAAGCCUGAUCCAGCCAUGCCGCGUGGAUGAUGAAGGCCCUAGGGUUGUAAAGUCCUUUCGGCGGGGAAGAUAAUGACGGUACCCGCAGAAGAAGCCCCGGCUAACUUCGUGCCAGCAGCCGCGGUAA